UACGUAGGGUGCGAGCGUUAAUCGGAAUUACUGGGCGUAAAGCGCGUGUAGGCGGCUAUGUAAGUCGGGCGUGAAAUCCCACGGCUCAACCGUGGAAGUGCACCCGAAACUGCGUAGCUAGAGUCCUGGAGAGGAAGGUGGAAUGCUUGGUGUAGAGGUGAAAUUCGUAGAUAUCAAGCGGAACACCGGUGGCGAAGGCGGCCUUCUGGACAGUGACUGACGCUGAGACGCGAAAGCGUGGGGAGCAAACAGG
rnacentral:rRNA from 1 species